rnacentral:lncRNA from 1 species
CACACACACACACGCACGCACAUAUGGACAUAUAUACAUGUACCAUACUCCUCCAACAUCUACACACACACCCUUCCACACGAAUAAAUAUAUUUGCAAUAUCUGGCCUGUUACAAAGCAAGCAUUUUCACUGUGUCUAUGGUCUUAAAUCCUCUGGGUUGGUUGAGCAAAUGAAUGGCACCAGAAGUGUGGGAGUCCUCAGUCUUUGCUUCCUGUCUGCCAUGUCCAAGUCACCAAUCUCCUACUGGUGAACAUUCUGCCAAGCCGGGAGACAGCAUUCCUGGGGAAGCUGCAGAACAAUGAAUCACCAGAAAUAAAACCAACAAAAGAAGAUAGUGAGAGCUGGGUCAUGGGUGCCCCUCAAGUGCAUGGCUCUUGUCUGCUGCCAUCCCCAAAGGCAGCUUACUGAGAAUGGAAACAAGUAUUAGAGGCAAAACCUAUGGAGGCUCUCCCCUGAUGAGACUAGUCAACCAGAAUCCUGAGCCAAGGUCACAGUCAGCAGCAGCAUGAACCAUGGACUUCCACAUGGUUUCUGGUGACAGCACAGACCACGGACCUCAACAUGGUCUCCAGAGGCAGUACAAACCAUGGACAUUAACACAGAGCUUGGUUGAAGCAUGAACCGUGGAUACCAUCAUGGCCCUCAAUAGCAACACAGGCCAUGGACAUCAACAUGGCCUCUGGCAGCAACAUAGGCAUUUCAUUAUACCAACUAACAAUCAUCCUGCCCCAGAAGGGCCUUCCUACAGCUCCCUGGCUUCCAGACAGAAAAUGGAACUUGGCAUCGUGGAGUAGGAGAAAGGAUCGUGUGGAGCUAUGAAGAGAUCCUGGGCUACAUACAACUCCCAGGGAGGAGUGACUCUGGGGUCCACCCAGGGGCAUGGGAGCAUCAAGGGAAGGAAGGAACAGGCCUCCAUGCCUUCAUGUCUCUGUGCUAUGUGCCACCUCUGGGAAAGUGACCAGCAACCCACACGAUCUUGCUCUUAAAUGCUUAGGGCACAGAUGGACCUUACAAUGAUUUUGCUGACCGAGAGAGAACACAUUGCAAGGCCCAUUGCUUCUGAGGGAGCUUUAUUUUUUGAAUCUUGUAUUCUUCUGAAAAGCCCACAGCAUUUCUUUGAGCUUUCUUGGGUGAUUCAAAAUAUUUUGGCAUCCACU